rnacentral:rRNA from 1 species
CGCCGCGUGAGUGAUGAAGGCUUUCGGGUCGUAAAACUCUGUUGUUAGGGAAGAACAAGUGCUAGUUGAAUAAGCUGGCACCUUGACGGUACCUAACCAGAAAGCCACGGCUAACUACGUGCCAGCAGCCGCGGUAAUACGUAGGUGGCAAGCGUUAUCCGGAAUUAUUGGGCGUAAAGCGCGCGCAGGUGGUUUCUUAAGUCUGAUGUGAAAGCCCACGGCUCAACCGUGGAGGGUCAUUGGAAACUGGGAGACUUGAGUGCAGAAGAGGAAAGUGGAAUUCCAUGUGUAGCGGUGAAAUGCGUAGAGAUAUGGAGGAACACCAGUGGCGAAGGCGACUUUCUGGUCUGUAACUGACACUGAGGCGCGAAAGCGUGGGGAGCAAACAGGAUUAGAUACCCUGGUAGUCCACGCCGUAAACGAUGAGUGCUAAGUGUUAGAGGGUUUCCGCCCUUUAGUGCUGAAGUUAACGCAUUAAGCACUCCGCCUGGGGAGUACGGCCGCAAGGCUGAAACUCAAAUGAAUUGACGGA